GGCUUAGAGUUUGAUCAUGGCUCAGGACGAACGCUGGCGGCGCGCCUAACACAUGCAAGUCGAACGGAGUUAUAUUGGCAGAAGUUUUCGGACGGACGCGGAUAUAACUUAGUGGCGAACGGGUGAGUAACACGUGAGCAACCUACCCUUCAGAGGGGGACAACAGUUGGAAACGACUGCUAAUACCGCAUAAGACCACGGUGUGGCAUCACACAGAGGUCAAAGGAGAAAUCCGCUGAAGGAUGGGCUCGCGUCCAAUUAGCUAGAUGGUGAGGUAACGGCCCACCAUGGCGACGAUUGGUAGCCGGACUGAGAGGUUGAUCGGCCACAUUGGGACUGAGACACGGCCCAGACUCCUACGGGAGGCAGCAGUGGGGAAUAUUGCACAAUGGAGGAAACUCUGAUGCAGCGACGCCGCGUGAGGGAAGAAGGUCUUCGGAUUGUAAACCUCUGUUGUCAGGGACGAUGAUGACGGUACCUGACGAGGAAGCCACGGCUAACUACGUGCCAGCAGCCGCGGUAAAACGUAGGUGGCAAGCGUUGUCCGGAAUUACUGGGUGUAAAGGGAGCGCAGGCGGGAGAGCAAGUUGGGAGUGAAAUCUGUGGGCUCAACCCACAAAUUGCUUUCAAAACUGUUUUUCUUGAGUGGUGUAGAGGUAGGCG
rnacentral:rRNA from 1 species